UACAGAGGGUGCUAGCGUUGUUCGGAAUUACUGGGCGUAAAGGGCUCGUAGGCGGUUUGUCGCGUCGGGAGUGAAAACACCGGGCUUAACUCGGUGCUUGCUUUCGAUACGGGCAGACUAGAGGCAUGCAGGGGAGAACGGAAUUCCUGGUGUAGCGGUGAAAUGCGCAGAUAUCAGGAGGAACACCGGUGGCGAAGGCGGUUCUCUGGGCAUGUCCUGACGCUGAGGAGCGAAAGUGUGGGGAGCGAACAGG
rnacentral:rRNA from 1 species